UUAGAGGAAGGAGAAGUCGUAACAAGGUUUCCGUAGGUGAACCUGCGGAAGGAUCAUUGUCGAUACCUGCAAAGCAGACAGCGAACACGUGUUUAACACCGCCUUCCCGCCGGCGUGGUCCAAUGGGUCACGCCGCGCGGGCUAACGAACCCCGGCGCGGAAUGCGCCAAGGAAUACUGAACCAAGCAUCCUCCCCCCGUUUAACGUCCCGUUCGCGGGCCGUGCGGGGGCGAUCRGAUGUCUUACGAAUGUCAUAACGACUCUCGGCAACGGAUAUCUCGGCUCUCGCAUCGAUGAAGAACGUAGCGAAAUGCGAUACUUGGUGUGAAUUGCAGAAUCCCGUGAACCAUCGAGUCUUUGAACGCAAGUUGCGCCCGAAGCCUUUGGCCGAGGGCACGUCUGCCUGGGCGUCACGCAUCGCGUCGCCCCCUUCCACGCGCUCACGCGCCGGUUAGGGGAGCGGAUACUGGCCUCCCGUGCGCCUCGGUGUGCGGCUGGCCCAAAUGCGAUCCCCCGGCGACUCGCGUCGCGACAAGUGGUGGUUGAACACUCAAUCUCUUGCGUCGUCGUGCCGCUGUGUCGUCCGCGAGGGUAUCACAUAACGACCCAACGGUGACGGAGCCUCACGGCUCCAAACCUUCGACCGCGACCCCAGGUCAGGCGGGAUUACCCGCUGAGUUUAA
rnacentral:rRNA from 1 species